UAAAAAUAAUAGCAGUUUCAUAUAAUAUCUCAUCUGGCAGUUGUAAGAAUCAAGUAAAGAAGAAGGAGAGAAAGUACUGUGAAGCUCAUUUUACAGAGGGAGAAACUGAGGUUCAGAUUUGCAUCAAGAUGCACAAGCAACACAAGCCCACAAAAGAAUGAAGGUAUCAAAUGAGAGCAAGGAAGCAUGUACACUGUCUGUAAGAAGUGAGGGAGGAGACAAAAAGACUAUGAGAAGCGCACACAAGAACUAUGAAGGCAUAGCCAUCUAGAGUCAGCCAGUGAGGAGAAACAACCACAUUCACUUGGGCGAACUCCAGGCACCUGUAGUCCAGAUGUUUUAGGGGACAGAGCACAGGCUGGUGUCUUCUGGUGCAGUAGCUCCGAGAUGAAGUCACCCUGGAAAAUCCUUAUGGCCACUCCUCUGUUCUUUCUCCUGACCCUUCACACCUUGGCCUCUCCAGCCUAUGACCACCAGCGCGGCACCAGACGCUCCAAUGGCCAAGUCUGUAUAGGUACGUAAAUAUUCUGUGUAUUUUUAAUGUGGAUAUCAUGGGGUCAAAUCCUUGGCUUGCAUAGUA